rnacentral:rRNA from 1 species
ACGUUUACCACGGUGUGGUUCAUGACUGGGGUGAAGUCGUAACAAGGUAGCCGUAGGGGAACCUGCGGCUGGAUCACCUCCUUACA